UCGCCUCCAUCUCUAUUCUCGUUUUCAACUCUGAACUUGCUCUCUCUCUCUCUCUCUCUCCAACUGCAGACUACAAAAUCUACCAGAAUCAGAAUUUCAAAACCCUUAUAUUUCAGUUUAUCUAUCUGUCUGCAAGAAUCAAAAGUUAAAAGCCUAUUACUCAUAUCAAAACCCAUAUCGGCAUAUCAUUUCAGAUUGUUCAAAAAAUCAAAACCCAGACCUUUCAGUUUCCAUCGCCCGCUGUUCCAGUUCGGAUUCGCCGUUCGCAAGCUUCAGCCGCUGUCCUGUUGUCUCUCAACUCUCAAGCUUGCCCCCCUCUCUCUCUGCAACUGCUAAAUUGGUUAGCAUCGGGCCUUAACAUUUAGCAAAAACAAGAUUAAGAAACAUGCCUCCUCAGUCAUCAGGUCUCUUUUCUGAAAGAAGAGAGCUGAUUGGAAUGGGUGGAGUAGGAAAAAAGAAAAGGAGGAUUACGUGAUUCUAGAAGACGAUUCUAGAUGAGGAAGUUAAUAUUAACGUUACGAGGAUGUUUAUGUCAACAUUGACUUUAGUGAUGACGACCGAUGAUGUUGAUAAUAUAUUGAUACACUCAAAUUAAGUCAAAGCACUUAGAAUUGAAGACAUACUAUUGAGCAUAGUGUCUAAUUCUUUUAGUUGCAAGAAUCUUUGGUCACUUCACACGCGGUAACAAUGGUGUGUAAUAUGGUUUAUCUACUUAGGCUUUUUCUUUUUUCGUCUCUCUAAACCCUAAUUUUAUUUGUGAAAAAGAAAAAAAAAAGACUCUAUGCAAUUUUAAUUUAACUUUAUCAGCUCGAGCAUUGGCAGAGCUUCUGAAAUGUCGAAACUGAAACAGCAAAGAAGAGAGAUUCCACCAAUAAGAAUUAUCCAACUUAGGACAAAAUAAGCUCUCUGAGCGUCUUAACUAAUAUUGGCAUGGGAGACUUCUAUAGAUAUGGAC